UUUCCGUAGGUGAACCUGCGGAAGGAUCAUUAUUGUAUAACCGAGGUGCGAGGGCUGUCGCUGACCCGAAAGGUCGUGCACGCCCGAGUGCCCUCACACACAUCCAUCUCACCCCUAUGUGCACCACCGCGUGGGUCCCCCUUUGGCUUGUUCGGAGGGGGGCUUACGUUUUCACACAAACUUUGUAUGCAGUGUAGAAUGUAUUUUUUGUUUUUGCGAUCACGCAAUCAAUACAACUUUCAACAACGGAUCUCUUGGCUCUCGCAUCGAUGAAGAACC
rnacentral:misc_RNA from 1 species